GAUGAACGCUGGCGGCGUGCCUAAUACAUGCAAGUCGAGCGAACAGACGAGGAGCUUGCUCCUCUGACGUUAGCGGUGGACGGGUGAGUAACACGUGGAUAACCUACCUAUAAGACUGGGAUAACUUCGGGAAACCGGAGCUAAUACCGGAUAAUAUAUUGAACCGCAUGGUUCGAUAGUGAAAGACGGUUUUGCUGUCACUUAUAGAUGGAUCCGCGCCGCAUUAGCUAGUUGGUAAGGUAACGGCUUACCAAGGCAACGAUGCGUAGCCGACCUGAGAGGGUGAUCGGCCACACUGGAACUGAGACACGGUCCAGACUCCUACGGGAGGCAGCAGUAGGGAAUCUUCCGCAAUGGGCGAAAGCUUGACGGAGCAACGCCGCGUGAGUGAUGAAGGUCUUCGGAUCGUAAAACUCUGUUAUUAGGGAAGAACAAAUGUGUAAGUAACUAUGCACGUCUUGACGGUACCUAAUCAGAAAGCCACGGCUAACUACGUG
rnacentral:rRNA from 1 species